UACGUAGGGGGCAAGCGUUGUCCGGAUUUAUUGGGCGUAAAGAGCGUGUAGGCGGCUUGACAGGUCUGCUGUGAAAACUCGAGGCUCAACCUCGAGAUGUCGGCGGAAACCGUCUGGCUAGAGUCCGGAAGAGGAGAGUGGAAUUCCUGGUGUAGCGGUGAAAUGCGCAGAUAUCAGGAAGAACACCUAUGGCGAAGGCAGCUCUCUGGGACGGUACUGACGCUGAGACGCGAAAGCGUGGGGAGCAAACAGG
rnacentral:rRNA from 1 species